GGGAGUGGAUGGGUCCCGGUGGGCCUUGCGGACUUCAAAUCCGUUGGCUCCGAUUCAAUAAUCGGUGCGGUGGGUUCGACUCCCUCCCACUCCCGCCA
rnacentral:tRNA from 1 species